rnacentral:lncRNA from 10 species
ACUUUACAAAGAGAUAGCAAAAUAUUUCUGUCAAGGUAACAACCAUUAAACUCGGAUGAUUAUCUUUCCAGAUAAGUAUAUAUGUCCCCUCUUCUACUUUGUAUAAAACUUGAAUCAUAUAGUAAAUAUAAUUCUGCAACUUGUUGGUUUUUUACUUAACCCUCUAGGUUAAACUUAUAUUCUUUUCUUUUUUUGAGAUAGGUUCUUGCUCUGUCACCCAGGGUGGAGUGCAGUGGCACGAACAAGGCUUACUGUAGCCUCAAGCAAUCCUCCCGACUCAUUUUCCUGGAUAGCUGGGACCACAGGUUGCAUGGGCCUCAGUCUAGAUCCAAGAGACCGGCCUCUUGGAUGAACAAAUGCACGCUUAACCUUUAACAUGGGACCAGUUCUUGGCUUCCUUGCUUAGGGAGCAUGACCACUCUUGGGGCUGUGCCGACUCUCCGUUAUAACCAGAAAGUGAAGAUGCUUUUUCUCCUCACCCCCUGCCUUCCCUGCGCCAGUGCCAGCACAUUUCUUUAGGGACAUUAUGCUAUUUCUCUAAGCCUGAAAGUGAUAAAGAGGAAAUUAUGUAACAUUUGCUCAGUUGCUAUUUAAAAAACAAAAACAAAAACAAAACAAAAACAAUUCAAAGAGAUCACUGGGAAAAUUAUUUCAUUUAAUUAAUUAAUUAAUUUUGAGACAAGUUCUCACUCUGUCACCCAGGCUGGAGUGCAGUGGCACAAUCAUGGCUCACUGCAGCCUCAACCUCCCAGGCUCAAGCUAUCCUUCCACCUC